rnacentral:rRNA from 1 species
UACGAAGGGUGCAAGCGUUACUCGGAAUUACUGGGCGUAAAGCGUGCGUAGGCGGUUUGUUAAGUCCGCUGUGAAAGCCCUGGGCUCAACCUGGGAAUUGCAGUGGAUACUGGCAAGCUAGAGUGCGGUAGAGGAUGGUGGAAUUCCAGGUGUAGCGGUGAAAUGCGUAGAUAUCUGGAGGAACACCGGUGGCGAAGGCGACGUCCUGGACCGGCAUUGACGCUGAGGCGCGAAAGCCAGGGGAGCAAACGGG